GCAUGAGAUUGUGUUGGGUUGGGGGGGUCUGCGCAUAAAAAGCUGUGUGCCCAAAUAAACAGUGUCAAAGACUGUAUCCUGGAACUGUGUCCCGUCCAGUUACUGAGGAAAUGGGUUUGACCUAUCUUAACAAAAGGGGAUAACCAGCCAGGUUACCCAGGUCCCGCUACAGUAUCAAAAAGCUAGAGAGCAUUGUGUGGAGACCAGCCACCUUUAC